rnacentral:lncRNA from 1 species
AUAGAGCAGAGAUGAGCAACUUCGUCAAGGUUGGAUUUCCCUUUGGAUCAGUAGAUCAGUAUGUGUUUUCCUCAACUCUCAGUAUAUUUUUUCUCUACAUUAUUACCUCCACUUUAGUUGUAAAAAAAUAAAUUGUCCUCUCUAAGCUUUCAAAUUAAUAUAGUAAAAUCUAUCCUGAAACGCAAAUUUGGUUCCUUACUUCUUUGAUGAAAAUCAAAAUAAAUAUGUUAGGAAUUAUGUUAAGAUAUGUUUUCAUAACGAUUUUAGAAGAUCUUUAGUUUUGCAAAUUGUCUUGCACUAAAUACAACUAUUACAUGCAUUACCUCUAAAAUUUGACUCGGAUGACUGGAUUGAUUUACUGGUUGAUAAACAUAUGUAAUUUUCAUGUUUGAUGGUAACGUUAAGCCUCAUUGCAACCACAAAACAUGUUUCUGAUUCAUUUGUUUAAUCGAGUUUUUACUGUCAGAUGUUUGCAUUGAUUUCCUCUUUUUAGGUAUUAGCAAUCGCUCUUUACGAUCAAGUUUUGGUUCUCUCAGUCAACCAUGGUGAGCAACACUAAUCUAUCCAUUUGUGCCUUUUGAUUUCAACUGCUCUUUAAUUUUUAUGAUUGUUGUAUAUCAGUUUUGGUCGCACUUAUUUGUAUAAAGAGAUAAGUUAUCGCUUUGAGGAAAGCUCUUCUCAACCUCAAUGGGUUUCACUUUUCAGGACAAAGAUCUCUGAUGUAUCUUAAUAAUGGAUUGGUGGACUUUAAAACCUUCAGACGGCAUCACCUGACAAUUAUGUGAAGUUUAUGUGAAGUUCAUAGCAGGAAGCUUGAAAUAUGAAAUGUGCGCCUAAAUAAAAUAUGGAGGGACUGUAUAUUGGUGAUUUUAUACAAACGUGUGGGGGC